UGGCUCAGAUUGAACGCUGGCGGGAUGCUUUACACAUGCAAGUCGAACGGCAGCACGGACUUCGGUCUGGUGGCGAGUAAACGGGUGAGUAAUGUAUCGGAACGGCCUAGUAGCGGGAUAACUACGCGAAAGCAAAGGGAGACGCAUUGCCUUCGGGGAAAGUGGGGACCUUCGGCCUCGCACUAUUAGAGCGGCCGAUAUCGGAUUAGCUAGUUGGUGGGUAACGGCUCACCAAGGCGACGAUCCGUAAGCUGGUUUGAGAGGACGACCAGCCACACUGGGACCGAGAUGUUGCCCCGACUCCACGGAGGCAGCAGUGGGGAAUUUUGGACAAUGGGGAACUGAUCCAGCCAUCCCGGGCGUGUGCGAUGAAGGCCUUCGGGCGCUUAAAGCACUUUGGCAGGAAAGAAACGGCACGGGAUAAUUCGUGCAACUGACGGUACCUGCAGAAUAAGCACCGGCUAACUACGCGCCAGCCGCGGUAAUACGUAGGGUGCAAGCGUUAAUCGGAAUUACUGGGCGCAAGCGUGCGCAGGCGGUUCUGGAAAGAAAGAUGUGAAAUCCCAGAGCUUAACUUUGGAACUGCAUUUUUAACUACCGAGCUAGAGUGUGUCAGAGGGAGGUGGAAUUCCGGGCGUGUAGCAGUGAAAUGCGUAGAUAUGCGGAGGAACACCGAUGGCGAAGGCAAACGGAUAACACUGAUUACCGGCAAAAUUUGAAAGCGUGGGGAGCAAACAGGAUUAGAUACCCUGUAGUCCACGCCCUAAACGAUGUCAACUAGCUUUCGUUGGGGCCUUCGGCUUUGGUAGCGCAGCUAACGCGUGAAGUUGACCGCCUGGGGAGUACGGUCGCAAGAUUAAAACUCAAAGGAAUUGACGGGGACUUCCGCACAUGGAUGAUGUGGAUGACUGAUGCAAUGAAAAACGCAUACCUACCCUUGAUAGCACCUGGAAUCCCGAAGAGAUUUGGGAGUGCUCGCAAGAGAACCGGAACACAGGUGCUGCAUGGCUGUCGUCAGCUCGUGUCGAGAUGUUGGGUUAAGUCUCAAGUAACGAGCGCAACCCUUGUCAUUAGUUGCUGCAUGAAAGGGCACUCUAUCGAGACGCCGGUGACAAACCGGAGGAAGGUGGGGAUGACGUCAGUCCCGCGGCCCUUAUGGGUAGGGCUUCACACGUCAUACAAUGGUCGGGACAGAGGGUCGCCAACCCGCGAGGGGGAGCCAAUCCCAGAAACCCGAUCGUAGUCCGGAUCGCAGUCUGCACCCGACUGCGUGAAGUCGGAAUCAGCGUAGUAAUCGCGAUCAGCAUGUCGCGGUGAAUACGUUCCCGGUCUUGUACACGACCCCGCCCGUCGCCAAUCAUGGUGGGCUCUUACCAGAAGUAGUUAGCCUCAACCGCGAGUGCGGCGAUUACCACGGUAGAUCAAGGGAUCGGGGUGAAGUCGGCACGAA
rnacentral:rRNA from 1 species